rnacentral:lncRNA from 1 species
UGUGGCUUGCUCCACUGGCUGCCUUGCCAUGACCCUGAGCUCUGGACAGUGACUCUUGGGUGGAUGUCAGUUACCAUGGUUGGGGGGAACGUGAUCCCUGUGGGCAGGAGGAAGAGUAUGUCUGGCCUCUGUUUCUGCCUCUGCCCUCUCCCAGUGUGUCCAUCUGUGUCUGUCUGUCUCCCACAUGUCCAUCCUUUGCUGAGGCCAUCUGUUCAGUUCUCUUCUGUGUGGAUCCUAGAAUCUUCCCAGGAAGAAUGCUAGGGGGGAAUGCUGGCUUGAAAAGAGAGCAGUGGUCAGGGUCGUGGGCAAAACCUGAGCCUCAGGUGGCAGGGAAGCAGGUACCCUGCUGUCCUCUUUUUCCCUGACAACCUGUCUGGCUUCUCUCCCUAGUGCUCAGCAUUGGGGAGGGCGGUUUCUGGGAGGGAACCGUGAAGGGCCGAACAGGCUGGUUCCCAGCUGACUGUGUGGAAGAAGUGCAGAUGCGACAGUAUGACACCCGGCAUGGUAAGUGACUCCAGUUUUUGCUCAGAUACCUCCUAAAGGGCAGGCACUUCUUCUAGUCUCCCUAUGGUCUUCUUGGUAACACAUCUGGACAUCCCCCCUAAGACUGAGAAGCAAACUCAAUAACACUCAAGAUACAUUCAGAUUUGCACAUAUCCAUGGUGGGCAAGCAUGCAUGUUCUUAGGAACAGGGGUAUGUGAACCUGACAGUGGAGCCACCUUUGCCAUGCCAGCUGGAGGAGUACACUCAUGGUCAUCCCUCUGUGUGCGUGUUGGCACACGAGUCUUCGGUGACAGUGACCACCCCUCUGGUACAUUCCUCACGGAAAUACCAGGUUCGUGGAACUCCCAAUUCAUGAGUGGCUGGCACGUAAGGAAGGAACCAGUGUGAGAAAAGAGGCGUUUUUCCAAAGUGGACAGAUUGUCCAAGUAGGCAGAGCAGGAGGCAUGGGCCAGCUAAGAGGAAAUGAGGCCAGUUGGGCCCCAAGGAGUGGCUCCGGGGUACCUGGGGUUGGUAUGGUCUGAGGGCAGCUGAUGAAGGAUGGCUCCUGUUCUUACAGAAAUGUGAGGUGAAGGUUGCAGCUCCUGGGGCCCGCUGAGGAACUGUGGUCCAAUCUAGCUGAAUGCUUGGACUUCUAGGAAGGAUCCCCUUAGAUGCUGGUGAAGGGUCCUCUGGGGCCCUCAGUGUGGGCUGCUUUCAUGUCUGGGGUGUACUCUUUCAUUGCGCCCUCGGGUAUUCUGGGAAGCCACAAGAUCGAUUAUCUUCUUUCCAGAUCAGAGAGUAGGUAGGACAAAUGAACUCUGGGGUGAUUAUCAGUGGUAUGUCUGGAUCAGGGUACGAGUGUCCCUUUCUCUGUACAUAGAAGGUUUGGGCCCAGGGUCGUGGUAACCUCUGUCAACCUCGACUUUAAGUUGGCAGCUUUCCAGGGGAGCCUACAAUCAUGUGGCCAUGCGUCAAACUUGAUGGAUGCCUAGGUUAUACAGGAACUCAGUUACUGACUUACUGCUGGCUAGGUUCCUUGCUUUCUUUUCCUUUCUUUCUCUCUCUCUCUUUCUUCUCUUUUCUUUUUUUUUUUUUUUUUAUAAAUAAAUCUGGAAUGCAUUCUUUCAGUUCUACUUUCUUUUUUUUUAAAAGAUUUUAUUUAUUAUAUAUGUAAGUACACUGUAGUUGUCUUCAGACACUCCAGAAGAGGGCGUCAGAUCUCAUUACGGAUGGUUGUGAGCCACCAUGUGGUUGCUGGGAAUUGAACUCAGGACCUUCAGAAGAGCAGUUAGUGCUCUUAACCUCUGAGCCAUCUCUCCAGCCCCUUCUCUUUUCUUUUUAAAGAUUUAUUAUAUGUAGGUACACUGUAGCUGUCUUCAGACACACCAGAAGAGGGCAUCUGAUCUCAUUACAGAUGGUUGUGAGUCACCAUGCAGUUGCUGGGAUUUGAACUCAGGACCUCCGGAAGAGUGGUCAGUGCUCUUAGCCGCUGAGCCAUCUCUCCAGCCCGUGCCUUGCUUUCUCACGUGGCUUAUCCUUUUCCUGCCUUGAUGGCUUUACUGGGGACUUGGAGAAUAGAAGGGGAUCGUUGCACUCACUUGCUGGAUGUGGCCUCCGGGUGGGAAUGAUUUCAUAGGCCCGUGGCCCAGUUCCAACAGGACCGAGUAAAGAGCAAGGAGAAGGGGCUACACACCUGUUGAAUAGGAGCUAGUUGUAUGCUUUUCCUACGGAUGGCGGUACGGUUUUGAGAACUGUGGAUCCAGGAUCGUUUGGCCGUCAUUCUGAAACCUAGGAAGGAGAGAGGUCUGCGUUGGAGUCAGAAUCCAAGAGGAGCAGAUGUUGGUCAGUUUUGCUUCAAGCCGGACCUUGUGCUGGCUGUCAGUGGUUAUGGCAAGUGUACCCCGUCCCGGGUGCACAGGCCACUGGGAGGGGGCGGGAUCCAGUUACCCCUGGAUGCACAGGACACCGAGACCGAAGAUCCGGGGUUAGCCUGAGGAAGCCAAAAAAAGAUAAAAAAAGAAAAAAAAAGAGGCUCAAAGCAAAGGUGUUGUUUCACUUGAAUUCCCCGGGUAGUUUACAGAUGGGUUCCUCAUAUUUGUGGAGAUCCAGCACCGCAUUCUAGAACUAUGCCCGUUGCCAACUUCUGUAUUUGAGCAGCGCCAGACAUGAGUUUUAGCAUUUUUCUAUGAAUGGAGCUGUGGACCUAUCCUAGCAAUCCUGGGAGGUGGGGUGCCAGCGUUUAGUAUGUUUCUGGGAUGUCACUACCCACAGGGGGCGGGGAUGUUUGUUCUUUGUUUUGCUGCAUAAGCAGUUAGCUUUGUGAGGAAUGGCACGGCUGGAGGGGGGAGCAUGAGUCUUAGUCGCCUGGUCCUUGGGGGUCAAGGUAAAGAACGAGAUCUUGUAGUAGGAGCUGACCGAGCAGAUAUUUUAGGGCCAAGAUGAAGAAGAUCUGGGCAGGGCAGAGUGGUGAGGACAAUGUGUCAAGGUCAACAGGAGAGGACCACAGAGCAGCUGGUGUGGGGGUGAUGGAGCUGCAGGCUUUCUAGCAACCACGGGACCUCUUAACAGGGCCAUAGCUAUCAUAGAUAACCUGAGGGAGUGGGGUUCAAAAGCACCUAGGUGAUUGAGAGCUACGUGUAUGACCAUAUGGUGAGGGCCCUGCUGGGACUGCCUUUGGGGAGGGUAUAGGAGCUAUAAUGGCUUCCCUCUGACCCCAGCUACAAUACCCAUCCUGCUGCUCUGGGCAGAACUUCUUGUCUGGGACUUAGGCUGAGUUGUGCCAGAUUGCAGAGGGCAUCCUAGCAACAGGAACUUGUUUCCAACAGUCCUCCCCCCACCCCCAGCCCUCCAGACUCUGAUUCAGGAACCAGAGUGGGAAUGAAGGAGGACUAUGAAAGACCAAGGAUAGAAGCCGUGCUGGGGUAGAGGUUAGGUCAGUGUCUCCUAGGACCCAGGUCCUGGUCUUUACCUGAGCAAAGAGUCUGGCCUCCAGCAGCGCUCUAGCAGGAAUUGAGGAAUGCAGCUAGUGCACACAUCUCAAGGCCUGACAUAACCUCCCAUCCUGUUUGCCUUCCUCUUUCCACUCGGAGAGAAUGUUCCAUUUGGGAGCCAGUGCUGGGCACAUUCCUUUCAGCUGGCUUUCCUGUGUGUGAUUAAUAAAACGAGCACACGAAUCUGUGUUAUAUAAUAAAUAGUUUGUCUGGUUGAUAACAAUUU